rnacentral:rRNA from 1 species
CACGUAGGAGGCGAGCGUUGUCCGGAAUCAUUGGGCGUAAAGAGCGCGCAGGCGGCUUGGCAAGUCGGGUGUGAAAUCCCGGGGCUCAACCCCGUGACUGCAUUCGAUACUGUCAGGCUAGAGGGAGGUAGGGGAGAGCGGAAUUCCUGGUGUAGCGGUGAAAUGCGCAGAUAUCAGGAGGAACACCGGUGGCGAAGGCGGAUCUCUGGGCCUUACCUGACGCUCAGGCGCGAAAGCUAGGGGAGCGAACAGG